rnacentral:rRNA from 1 species
UCCCGCCUGCCCAGUGACUCUUUAAACGGCCGCGGUAUCCUAACCGUGCAAAGGUAGCAUAAUCACUUGUCCCCUAAAUAGAGACUAGAAUGAACGGCUAAAUGAGGACAAAACUGUCUCUUACGGACCAGCCAAUGAAAUUGAUCUUCCAGUACAAAAGCUGGAAUAAACCCACAAGACGAGAAGACCCUGUGGAGCUUUAAAACCAAAACCACCAAGCAUGCUUCUUGGUUUUUUAGUUGGGGCGACUUUGGAGAAAAAACUAACCUCCAAAAAUAAACCUGUUUAUUAAGAAUAAUACACCAAAAAUAAUUAAAUAGACCCAGCAACAUUUUCAUGUUGUCUGACCAAUAAACCAAGUUACCCCAGGGAUAACAGCGCCAUCCUCUUCUAGAGUCCUUAUCGACAAGAGGGUUUACGACCUCGAUGUUGGAUCAGGACACCCCUAUAGUGCAGCCGCUAUAAACGGUUCGUUUGUUCAACGAUUAAAGUCCUACGUGAUCU